AUGCAAAGAAAGAAAAUAUUUUCCCAUCUCACAAAAGAACUGUAUUUUAUUCAGGACGUGGAGGAUAAGUAACAAUUGCUCAGCUGGUAGAAACCCAUGCCCAGGUGACCGACCGACACAGAAGACAGCGAGAGAAUCCUCAGAGGGCGCCCAGGAGGAGAGCGGCUGCUCUUCCUUCUGAGGCUCUGCGAUGCUUUCUUGGGCACCUCCUAGAUGGAAGCAGUACAGCACUCACAGGUAAGAAACCUCUGUCUGUCAGGAAGCAGCACUCGCAUAUUGAGGCUGAAGGGUGGAGAAGCUUCUUCCGUAUCCAUGAUAGGCUUUGAAGAGAAGAGGAAGGUGGAGCUCUGGAACUAGUUGAGCUGAUUGUCCUUAUCCUUU